rnacentral:rRNA from 1 species
GAUGAACGCUGGCGGCGUGCCUAAUACAUGCAAGUCGAGCGAACAGACGAGGAGCUUACUCCUCUGACGUUAGCGGCGGACGGGUGAGUAACACGUGGAUAACCUACCUAUAAGACUGGGAUAACUUCGGGAAACCGGAGCUAAUACCGGAUAAUAUAUUGAACCGCAUGGUUCAAUAGUGAAAGACGGUUUUGCUGUCACUUAUAGAUGGAUCCGCGCCGCAUUAGCUAGUUGGUAAGGUAACGGCUUACCAAGGCAACGAUGCGUAGCCGACCUGAGAGGGUGAUCGGCCACACUGGAACUGAGACACGGUCCAGACUCCUACGGGAGGCAGCAGUAGGGAAUCUUCCGCAAUGGGCGAAAGCUUGACGGAGCAACGCCGCGUGAGUGAAGAAGGUCUUCGGAUCGUAAAACUCUGUUAUUAGGGAAGAACAAAUGUGUAAGUAACUAUGCACGUCUUGACGGUACCUAAUCAGAAAGCCACGGCUAACUACGUG